AUUGMACAAKGGCGMAAGCMUGAUGAAGMCAUGCCGCGUGUGURAAGAAGGCMDDAGGGUUGUAAAGCHCCCCCMGCGAGGAGRAAGCCGUUGUAGUWAAUAGCUGCAACGAUUGACGUUACYCGCAGAAGAAGCACCGGCUAACUCCGUGCCAGCAGCCGSGGUAAUACGGAGGGUGCAAGCGUUAAGCGGAAAUAACUGGGCGUAAAGCGCACGCAGGCGGUBUGUUAAGUMAGAUGUGAAAUCCCCGAGCUUAACUUGGGAACUGCAUUUGAAACUGGCAAGCUAGAGUCUUGUAGAGGGGGGUAGAAUUCCAGGUGUAGCGGUGAAAUGCGUAGAGAUCYGGAGGAAUACCGGUGGCGAAGGCGGCCCCCUGGACAAAGACUGACGCUCAGGUGCGAAAGCGUGGGGAGCAAACAGGAUAAGAUACCCUGGUAGUCCACGCUGUAAACGAUGUCGACUUGGAGGUUGUGCCCUUGAGGCGUGGCUUCGGGACUAACGCGUUAAGUCGAGCGCGUGGGGAGUACGGCCGG
rnacentral:rRNA from 1 species